rnacentral:rRNA from 1 species
UACGAAGGGAGCUAGCGUUGUUCGGAAUCACUGGGCGUAAAGCGCACGUAGGCGGAUUUGUCAGUCAGGGGUGAAAUCCCGGGGCUCAACCUCGGAACUGCCUUUGAUACAGCAAGUCUUGAGUUCGAGAGAGGUGGGUGGAAUUCCUAGUGUAGAGGGUGAAAUUCGUAGAUAUUAGGAAGAACACCCGGUGGCGAAGGCGGCCCACUGGCUCGAUACUGACGCUGAGGUGCGAAAGCGUGGGGAG